rnacentral:rRNA from 1 species
AACAGGAUUAGAUACCCUGGUAGUCCACGCUGUAAACGAUGUCGACUUGGAGGUUGUGCCCUUGAGGCGUGGCUUCCGGAGCUAACGCGUUAAGUCGACCGCCUGGGGAGUACGGCCGCAAGGGUAAAACUCAAAUGAAUUGACGGGGGCCCGCACAAGCGGUGGAGCAUGUGGUUUAAUUCGAUGCAACGCGAAGAACCUUACCUACUCUUGACAUCCAGAGAAUUUGCUAGAGAUAGCUUAGUGCCUUCGGGAACUCUGAGACAGGUGCUGCAUGGCUGUCGUCAGCUCGUGUUGUGAAAUGUUGGGUUAAGUCCCGCAACGAGCGCAACCCUUAUCCUUUGUUGCCAGCACGUAAUGGUGGGAACUCAAAGGAGACUGCCGGUGAUAAACCGGAGGAAGGUGGGGAUGACGUCAAGUCAUCAUGGCCCUUACGAGUAGGGCUACACACGUGCUACAAUGGCAUAUACAAAGAGAAGCGAACUCGCGAGAGCAAGCGGACCUCAUAAAGUAUGUCGUAGUCCGGAUUGGAGUCUGCAACUCGACUCCAUGAAGUCGGAAUCGCUAGUAAUCGUAGAUCAGAAUGCUACGGUGAAUACGUUCCCGGGCCUUGUACACACCGCCCGUCACACCAUGGGAGUGGGUUGCAAAAGAAGUAGGUAGCUUAACCUUCGGGAGGGCGCUUACCACUUUGUGAUUCAUGACUGGGGUGAAGUCGUAACAAGGUAACC